AAUAUUUUAGGUUAAAAAAACCUGUAGCCUUCAAAGCUUCUAUUGGGAACUCUCCCAAAUAUUA
rnacentral:tRNA from 1 species